GAUCCUUUGCUAAGGUAUUG
rnacentral:piRNA from 1 species